ACCAACAGGGAUUGCCCCAGUAACGGCGAGUGAAGCGGCAACAGCUCAAAUUUGAAAUCUGGCCCCCGGGCCCGAGUUGUAAUUUGCAGAGGAUGCUUUUGGCGCGGUUCCUUCCGAGUUCCCUGGAACGGGACGCCAUAGAGGGUGAGAGCCCCGUACGGUUGGACACCAAGCCUUUGUAAAGCUCCUUCGACGAGUCGAGUAGUUUGGGAAUGCUGCUCAAAAUGGGAGGUAUAUUUCUUCUAAAGCUAAAUACCGGCCAGAGACCGAUAGCGCACAAGUAGAGUGAUCGAAAGAUGAAAAGCACUUUGAAAAGAGGGUUAAACAGCACGUGAAAUUGUUAAAAGGGAAGCGCUUGUGACCAGACUUGCGCCCGGUGAAUCACCCAGCUCUCGCGGCUGGGGCACUUUGCCGGCUCAGGCCAGCAUCAGCUCGCCGUCGGGGACAAAAGCCUCGGGAACGUAGCUCUCUUCGGGGAGUGUUAUAGCCCGUUGCACAAUACCCUUCGGCGGGCUGAGGUACGCGCUCCGCAAGGAUGCUGGCGUAAUGGUCAUCAGCGACCCGUCUUGAAACACGGACCAAGGAGUCAACCUUAUGUGCGAGUGUUUGGGUGUCAAACCCCUACGCGUAAUGAAAGUGAACGCAGGUGAGAGCUUCGGCGCAUCAUCGACCGAUCCUGAUGUUCUCGGAUGGAUUUGAGUAAGAGCAUAUAGGGUUGGACCCGAAAGAAGGUGAACUAUGCGUGUAUAGGGUGAAGCCAGAGGAAACUCUGGUGGAGGCUCGCAGCGGUUCUGACGUGCAAAUCGAUCGUCAAAUAUGCGCAUGGGGGCGAAAGACUAAUCGA
rnacentral:rRNA from 1 species